rnacentral:rRNA from 1 species
AGUGAACGCUGGCGGCGUGCCUAAUACAUGCAAGUCGAACGGAGUGGCGCACGGGUGAGUAAUGUAUAGCUAAUCUUCCCUACACUAGAGGACAACAGUUGGAAACGACUGCUAAUACUCUAUAGUGUAGGAUGAGGCUAUAUUGUAUCAGCUAGUUGGUGAGGUAAUGGCUCACCAAGGCUAUGACGCAUAACUGGUCUGAGAGGAUGAUCAGUCACACUGUAACGGAGACACGGUCCAGACUCCUACGGGAGGAGGCGGUAGGGAAUAUUGCUCAAUGGGGUGAUCCCUAAAGCAGCAACGCAGCGUGGAGAAUGACACUUUUCGGGGCGUAGACGCCUUUUGUUAGCGAAGCGGUACCUAACGAAUAAGCACCGGCUAACUCCGUGCCAGCAGCCGCGGUAAUAC